rnacentral:lncRNA from 1 species
AAUUAUUUCCUGACAUCCUCAAGAACAGAAAGGAUUCUAGUAUCUCACUUGAGGGCAGCCCUGCUCCACACUGUCCCUUAUUUGGGUCAAUUAACAAGACCCCUGCCCCCAUUUAACUGGGCAGCCAUCAAGGUUGAAAGACCCUCCAUCUUCCCUUUUCUGAGAGGUGAGUGACACUGGCCUGAUGGGAAAUAGUGAAUUCUCUCUAUGCAGAGCUAGUCGGUGGUGAAAAAAAUUCAUAAAAUUAUCUAUAGAUUAUACCUACUUUCUCUGAAUAGUCUUAGUUUCAGUAUUGAUGGCCCAAUGUAGAAAUGUUUAACAUAAGCCGAAUAAACGUAGCCAAAUUAAAGCAUAUGAGGAAAAUGGUAUGUACUUGGAAAACAUUAGGAGUUAGUAGGAUGAAAUAGCAUGUGAUAGUUAAACUACCAUAUUUUUUGCGGGGAUGUUUCAUUACAGAGACUGAUGACUAUUUCUACAAAUAUCCCACAGAGUAUUCAGUUAUGCUGGAAGAAGGCUGAAGAUGACAUACCAGAAGCUAUGCAAGAGAGAUGAUACACAUUAUUUUAAUUUUAUGAGGCUGUAGAUCUUGGGAAAAGGAGCAAUUUAUAAUGCCACUCUUUACAAUAAUUAAGAAGUAUGUGGUCUUCUACUGUGGAAGGAACAAAUUAAAUACUGUGGACUCUAAAGGUAAUGUUUUUAUCAUGAUAUAUAAGUAUGGUUCUACAUUGUUUACUGAGG